CACGCAUGACACACUGCAUAUCAAUAAGCGGAGGAAAAGAAACUAACAAGGAUUCCCUUAGUAACGGCGAGUGAAGCGGGAAGAGCUCAAAUUUGAAAUCUUCAAGGUUUUACCUUGACGAAUUGUAGUUUAAAGAAGUGUUUUCUGUUGGAGUUUUGGUAAAAGUUCUUUGGAAUAGAACAUCAUAGAGGGUGAGAAUCCCGUAUUUGACCAUUAUUUCCAGCUGUGUGAUACACUUUCAAAGAGUCGGAUUGUUUGGGAAUGCAGUCCAAAAUGGGUGGUAAAUUUCAUCUAAAGCUAAAUAUUGGCGAGAGACCGAUAGCGAACAAGUACCGUGAGGGAAAGAUGAAAAGAACUUUGAAAAGAGAGUUAAACAGUAUGUGAAAUUGUCAAAAGGGAAGCGUUUGACACCAGUGUUGUUUUCUCGAAAAUCAAUUAAAAAUGAUGGGAUUUUGUGUUGUAUUGACUUUAUCAGCUUUCUGCACUUUUUUCUUAUCUUUUUUAAUGCACUUUUCGUUUAACAAGUCAACAUCAAUUUCUUUUGCUGUAAAAGAGUCAUUGGAAGGUGGCUUUUUCUUCGGAAAAAGUGUUUAUAGCCUUUGGCUUCUGCAAUCGGAGAGAUUGAGGUCUGCAGCGUAGAUCCUUCGGGGUUAGAUACAUUUGUGCUAAGCUAUAGUUCUUUAUAGACAACUUGUUGACUAUAAUCAAUCCUGUAACUUACUCGCUUAUGCUAUUUUACCUACGCUUAGGAUGUUGACUGAUAUGUAGUCGUA
rnacentral:rRNA from 1 species